rnacentral:rRNA from 1 species
GUCCACACCGUAAACGAUGAUUACUAGGUGUUGGAUGAUUGACCCUUCAGUGCCGCAGUUAACACAAUAAGUAAUCCACCUGGGAGUACGACCGCAAGGUUGAAACUCAAAGGAAUUGACGGGGCCCGCACAAGCAGUGGAGUAUGUGGUUUAAUUCGACGCAACGCGAAGAACCUUACCAAGUCUUGACAUCCCUUGACGAACAUAGAAAUAUGUUUCUCUUCGGAGCAAGGAGACAGGUGGUGCAUGGUUGUCGU